rnacentral:lncRNA from 1 species
GUUUUUCCCUCUGACUUUUUGAGAGGAAUAGCUCUUUCUUCCUCUGAACUACCUCUGAAAGAAACAUCUCAUCUUUCUGACUGUGCAGUAGACACUGGUAGCAGAUAAACACAAACUUGCUACAAAAGUCCAGAAUAAAACAAAUCUAUGCUACUGGGCAAUUCAACUAUACAGUUGAAUAUAAUUGGACAAGCAUGCAAAUACAAAGUUGAAUAUAAUCUGAAGUUGUAUUCAGAAGUAUAUCAGGUAUAUCAGAUAUUUCAUAUCAGCUUCCAUAACAUAAAAUUUUGGAUCCCCA